UAAAUCCAAAAUCUUGCAGUAGAUUUUGAGCAGCGUUUUCCUUUUCAAAAAUCUUACAAAGAAUAAAAGGAAUAUCUGCAACACGCAGCGUUCGGCGUCAAACAGGCCUCUCCACCCAUACCUUCCACCGACCAUCGCUGAUCUCUUCCCUACGCAGAUCCAAAUUCCUCCUCCUCCUCCUUCGAUCUCGAUCUCUUCUCCUCAGCCUCAGGUACGUUCUCGAUCGACCCUGAUCUCGUCUUCGUCUCUUUGAUCUGUCCACCCAACAGAGGAGGAAGCAAACAUGAGUUCAAAUUUCGGAAAACCCACCCUUAACAACUACGAGUUCGAUUUCGGAGGACUCUCCACGAACCGUCCCCGUUCCAUGAACGAUCAGAAGCACCAGCACCGACCCUCUUCUUACUCGCAAUCUUCUUCUUCGUCGUCGUUUUCAUCGACCCAGACCAGGCCUGCAACGACGCCGUCGUGGCAGCCCAACAAACCCUCGUGGACCCACCAGCCGGCGGCGGGUAACGCCGCCCGGCCCGGUCUGUCUGGCGCGCCGGCUUCAAUGGUGGGCGAUAUCCUCGGUAAGAGCUGGUCAUCAGGUGCCAGUACAGGCAUCGGAAUCGCGGAUAAAAACCCUAAUUUGUUUGGGGAUCUGCUCGGCUCGGCCUUAGGGCAGGGUAAGAGCAAUAAUAGUAAUGUUCCGUUGAAGAAUAUAUCAUCAAAGAGUUCGUAUUCAAUGGAGAAUUUGGCUGAUUCGUUGCCAAAAACGAGUAAUCCUGUGAAAAGUAAUAGUAAUUGGGGAUCGGGUGAGAGUUUUGGGAGUUAUACUGGUCCAUACAAUAAAAGUAACAUUAAUAAUAAUAACUUCAACAAAGGCCCAAAUCUUGGAGGUCCUUCCAUGCGGAAUUUAGGUGGAGUUGGAGCUGGGAUGAGUGCCAACAAGGACCCAUUUGGAUCUUUGGUUGAUUUUGGGUCGAAGCAAACGGGUAAUCUUAAUACUGCGAGGAAGAGUAAUGAGGUUAGCACAGGUAAUGAUGCAUUUGGGGAUUUUCAGAAUGCUUCAAAGUCGAGCACAUCAGCAUACCCAUCAAAUGCUCAUUCUACAAGCAAUAGCACUAAUAACAAUAAUUUUAUGGGAUCAAGCCCGGCAUCUGGUGCGACAAUUGAUGAUUUUGGGAUUCCUAGUAAGGAUUAUAGUUCUCAGAAUCAGCCUCCUGCUCAGCCAGCGGGGGUUGAUCCAAUCGACAUGUUGUUUACUUCAUCAUCUUCCUCGGCUGGAGCUGCCUCUGCUGCUGCCCAAGGACUUGGAAAUCAGCAAUUUUCUGAAGCUGAUGAUUGGGGAUUGGAUACAGAGUUCGGAGGUGGAGGAGGAAAUGAAACAGGCACAACUACUGAGCUUGAAGGACUUCCUCCCCCACCCGCUGGUGUGUCAGCUUCUUCUGCUAUGAACAAGGGGGUGGAUAACUACAAGCAGGGGCAGUAUGCUGAUGCGAUAAAAUGGCUUUCUUGGGCUGUAAUUUUACUUGAGAAAGCUGGAAAUAAUGCUUCCACCAUGGAGGUUUUGUCGUGCAGAGCUUCAUGUUAUAAAGAAGUUGGGGAAUAUAAGAAGGCUGUUGCAGACUGCACGAAGGUGCUAGAACAUGAUGACACAAAUGUAUCAGUCCUUGUACAGCGUGCACUCUUGUAUGAGAGUAUCGAAAAGUACAAACUCGGGGCAGAGGACUUAAGGUCUGUUAUGAAACUUGAUCCUGGUAAUCGUGUUGCAAGAAGUACGAUUCAUCGCUUGACUAAAAUGGCAGGGUAAAGAGGUUUUGAAAUUGUGUGCGCAGUAGCUUCUUCAUUUAGGCUGAAAAUGUUGUGGUUUGCUUUGGAAAAUAUCCACUCCAACUUGCCAAAACCACUUCAGUAGAAUGAAUUGAGUGAGCUAUUGGUGUAGAGGCCUUGAGAAGAAAAUAUAGUGAUGUGAUUUACACAAGAGUCGAGUACACGAUUUGUUCCAAAACAACAGUUCUAUGGCAGCGGAAGGAUUAAAGGGAACUCCAAAGAUGCUCCUAGAAGAAAUAGAGGAAGGGCUCUGCUUGAAAUAAGGGUUCUAUCCACCUCAACAAUGAUGUUUGCUCAGGUCCAUAGUGCACCCCAAAGCCUUCAACCGUAGCUUCAUAUUUCUUCUCUCACCUGCUUGGUUACCUUAGCAGCACCUCUAAACUGGAACAUAUUCUUCAGCUGCAACUCCCUGGAUGCUUGGCAACAUCCCAAAAUUUGGACAGAUGUAGUUGGAUGUUUUGGGGCAGGGAGAGAGUAACGGAUUGGAUUCUGGGGGAGUCUCUUCUAUAAGUAGGAAUUGUGGAUAGAGAAGGGGGAGGGAACUUCUCAAGUGUAGGGAGAAUAGAGAGAGUGAGAGAAUGAUGGAAUAAAAAGCCAUUAAAGUAGGGGCAGCGAAGCAGAUACAGGAGAAGAAGAGCUCUGAGAGUCUGCUCUGCGCAGAAUUUGCAAAGCAGAAGGGUCGCAGAGGAGCCUCGUGGAGAGUUUAGCUGAAAGACAAGUCAAGAGGUAACCACAGAAGAUUUUAGCAGAAUAUGAAUAUUCAUUUAAACCUACGAUUCAGUGUGGGCAGUGUAAUUGAGUGGAUUAAUGCUGCAACAUGGUGAGUAUUCCCUUAAAAUCAUGACUAGUAUUACUGUGUGUUGAGCUAUUAGAAUGAUCCUAGGACUGUAUUGUCCGUUGGGUGAUGAAUGCUAUGCUGCAAUGUGCCUACUUGAAAUUGCGACUGUCUUAUGGAUGAUUACUUCACAUGUUGAACAA